rnacentral:miRNA from 1 species
UCACUGGGUGCAUGAUGAUUGU